rnacentral:rRNA from 1 species
UCGCAAGAGUAAGAAACGCAGACAGUGAAUGCCUUGCUUCUCAUCUCCGAAAAAGGACGUACAUGGUCACGAUAGUCGUCGGGUAGGAGCCACGAUCCAUUGAUCCGACGGUGUCCGAAUGGGGAAACCCUUCCAGCUUUGCUGGAAACUUAGCCUCCAAAUGUGUUCCGCAAGGAAUGUUAUAAAGGCUAAUGUGGGAACCGCCCGAACUGAAACAUCUCAGUAGGGCGAGGAAUAUAAAUCAAGCGAGAUUCCGUCAGUAGCGGCGAGCGAAAGCGGAACAGUCUAAACCUUUGUGCACAGCACAAGGAAUUCAAAAAGCAAAAGUCAUAAUGCAAAAGUGCAAUUCAAAAGUAAAAAUAAAAACUUUUGAAUUUUAACUUGUAUUUUUGAUUUUUAAAUUUUAACUUUUGAUUUCCGUGUGCUGUGCAUGGGGGGGUUGCAGGAGCCCGAUGUGAGAGUAAAAUUGGUAGUAGAACGGUAUGGAAUUGCCGGCCACAGAGAGUGAAAGCCUCGUAUAUUAAACUAAUUUUGCCUCUAGGGAUUUCCUAAGUACCACGGAACACAUAUUCUGUGGGAAACGGGGGGAACCAUCCUCCAAGACUAAAUAAGAUGAGAGAGCGAUAGUGAACUAGUACCGUGAGGGAAAGGUGAAAAGCUGAGUGAAACACUCAAUGAAAUAGAACCUGAAACUGUUUGCGAACAAUCCGAUAGAGUCCCCUUAAAAGGAUGAUAUCGUGCCUAUUGAAGAAUGAGCCGGCGAGUUGUUUUAAUUUUCUAGUCUAACCAAGUUAUUUGGGGAGGCGUAGGGAAACCAAGUCUUAAAAGGCGAAAAGAAAAUUAGAUCAGACCCGAAACCAGGUGAGCUAACCAUGAGCAGGGUGAAGGAGAUAGAAAUAUCUGUGGAAGCCCGAACCCGUUGUCGUUGCAAUGACAUGGGACGACUUGUGGUUAGUGGCAAUAUACCUAACGAACCUGGAGAUAGCUGGUUCUCCCCGAAAGGUCUAUAGGGACCGUGGUAUGUAAAGUUAUGUUGGCUGUAGAGCACUAGAUGGGUUGGAGAGCGCAAGCAAUUCAACUCAAUUAAACUCCGAAUACUAACGUUAAUUAUCAUACUAGACAGACAUAUCGGGCUAAGCUGAUAUGUCGAAAGGGAAACAACCCAGAUUUUCAGCUAAGGCCUCUAAAUUACAACUAAGUUUAAAAGGAAGUACGUGUCCGAAAACAGCCAGGAGGUUGGCUUAGAAGCAGCCACCCUUUAAAGAUAGCGUAACAGCUCACUGGUCGAUUAGGGCGCGUGCGCCCAAGAUUUAUCGAGGAUAAGUUGUAUGCCGAAGCUAGAAAUUUUGUCAUAAUUUAUUAUGACGGAGUGGUAGGGGAGCGUUCCGACAGCGGUGAAGCUGUGUUGUAAGACAUGGUGGAGCGGUCGGGAGUGAGAAUGUCGGCUUGAGUAGCGCACAAUUACCGUGAGAAUCGGUAGCACCGAAUGUUCAAGGUUUCCACUGCAAGAUUCGUUCACAGUGGGUUAGUCGGUACCUAAGGCGAGGCCAUAUUGGCGUAGUCGAUGGAAGAGUAGUCAAAAUUCUACUAUUUGGUUUGAAUCGAAAAAUCCGCAAGGAUAAGCUGGGGAUUGACCAAAUUGGAAAAUCAGGGCCCAUUAUUGAAUUUGGGUUCAAGCUGCAAGACAGUAUUGUGUGGAAAAUCCCGCAGUAUGUUUAAUCGAGCAGUCAUGUAAACUCUGUCGCGAGAUGGGGGAUUCUGAACGUUUCAGUUUGCAGGAAAAGGUUCGCAGCGAGAGUCAAACUAAGCCGUACCGCAAACCGACACAGGUGAACUGGGGGAGUACCCUAAGGUGAUCGAGAGACAAAUUCUCAAGGAACUCGGCAAAAAAACUAUCCGUAACUUUGGGAGAUGGGUUCCCCACGUCGCCGUAAGGCUAUGAGGGGGGCACCGAAAGUUUGCUAGUCGACUGUUUACCAAAAACACAGGUCCGUGCAAAGACGAAAGUCGAAGUAUACGGGCUGACGCUUGUCCAGUGCCGGUAAGUUAAGAAGAGGGGUGGCUUGUCGCAAGAUGAAUUGCUCUGAAUUGAAGCUCCGGUGAACGGCAGCAGUAACUAUAACUGUUCUAAGGUAGCGAAGUUCCUUGCCAGGUGAGUUCUGGCCCGCAUGAAUAGCGUAACGAGCUAGCAACUGUCUUGAGAGUUUACUCGGCGAAAUAGCGAUGGCUGUGAAGACGCGGCCUACUUCUACAUGGACAAAAAGACCCCGUGGAGCUUUACUGUAAGUAGACAUUGCUUUCAUAUUUUUUGAUUGUCUAGAAUAGGUGGGAGAUUCGUCAUAAUAUGUAAUACCACUCGUUGGAAAAUGUGAAGCUUACUUUACUCGCCUGGAGACGGCGAGGGGAAACGUGUUUGCUGGGCAGUUUUACUGGGGCGGUACCCUGCCAAAAUGUAACGCAGGGACACAAAGGUUGGCUUUCCACCGAUGGAAACGGUGGGUAAAGCGCAAAGGUUUAAGCCAGCUUGACUGCAAGGGAUACAUCCCGCGCAGGUAGGAAACUAGGUCUUAAUGAUCCUCCGAUGCACAAUGGGUGUGCACGGAGCUUAAUGGAUAAAAGCUACCCCGGGGAUAACAGAGUAGUCGCGCCCGAGCGUCCAUAGCGACGGCGCGGUUCGCUACCUCGAUGUCGGCUCAUCACAUCCUGGCGCUGAAGAAGGUGCCAAGGGUCGGUCUGUUCGCCCGUUAAAGUGAUACGCGAGCUGGGUUCAGAACGUCGUGAGACAGUUGAGCACAUUAACAUAUUGUGCUGACAAUCUAAGCUGUCUUUCUAUACAACGUUGUGAAUCAUUUCUAGUUUUUACUAGAAAGUAGAGGUUUAGUAUAUUUUGUUAUACCUAUAGAAUCCUGAUACCAGUUCAGGAAAUAAAUUUGGGCCACCUACGCUGAAAGGCUACGGCGGCUCCCACGAAACUCGGAAGAGUGAAGUGGGACUAUUUGCUGGAAAAUCCGGUGUAUGUUGCACUACCAUUUAAAAAGUGGUAAAAAUGCGCAACUGCGGACAAUCAGCAGGAAAGACCAUAGUGAUAUCAAAUAUAAAAUAUUAAAAAGUAAAUAUUGGGACAAAAGUUCCAAUCUGCAUUUUUGAUAUUUGAUUUUUAAUUUUUGAUUUUAUUAUGGAAUCCUCACAGACUAUACGCCAAAUCCCACGUCGCCCUAAAGGGCUAUGAGGGAAAGAUAUAGUCGGAUCCUACGAGCGAUCGUAGGUCCCUGAAACACAGGAGUGUGUUCAGGGUUUAAAACAAUUAUGUCGGACUCUAUCCUGUAGAAGCGUUGGAAUCUUGAGGAGAGCUGGGGACAGUACGAGAGGACCUCCCUGGGGGAAUCCCUGGUGUGCCGGUUAUUGCAUCAGCAGUAACGCCGGGUAGCUACAUUCCCAACGGAUAACCGCUGAAAGCAUCUAAGUGGGAAGCCGCCUCCGAGAUUAGGAUUCCUGAUACGAAAGUAUCGUUAGACCCCCGACAGAAUAUCGGGUUAAUCGGUUAGCGCUGGAAGUCCCGUAAGGGAUUAAGGCUACUAAUGCGAAUUGGUCGAUUUCUUGCGAUC